rnacentral:rRNA from 1 species
UUCGGAUUGAAGGCUGAAAUUCGCCUUCAUGAAGCUGGAAUUGCUAGUAAUGGCAGGUCAGCAUACUGCCGUGAAUACGUUCCCGGGGCCUUGUACACACCGCCCGUCACACCAUGAGAGUUGGAAAUACCCGAAGCCUGUGAGCUAACUUAAAGAGGCAGCAGUCGAAGGUAGAGCCAAUGAUUGGGGUGAAGUCGUAACAAGGUAGC